rnacentral:rRNA from 1 species
GAUCCUGGCUCAGAUUGAACGCUGGCGGCAGGCCUAACACAUGCAAGUCGAACGGUAACAGGAAGCAGCUUGCUGCUUUGCUGACGAGUGGCGGACGGGUGAGUAAUGUCUGGGAAUCUGCCUGAUGGAGGGGGAUAACUACUGGAAACGGUAGCUAAUACCGCAUAACGUCGCAAGACCAAAGAGGGGGGACCUUCGGGCCUCUUGCCAUCGGAUGUGCCCAGAUGGGAUUAGGCUAGG